UAUGGUCGUCUCCAAACAGCAUUAUUUUGCCUCCUAGAACUUUCCCGUUCAGCCCUCAUGAUGCUGCCAGCAACCUGGGAUGGUGAACGGAGAUGCAGGGACUUAGAGAAAAGCUCCACCCAAGACUACAGAACAAGAGCGGUAUCUUCAGGAUGAAAACUGUCAUUGGUAUUUGCGCCCAUAGAUCGACCAUCAAGAAAUCCUUGAAUCAAGUUGCUGUGCUUGCAUAUCUAGCACAAGCCCAUCUGGGAGAGGCUUUCCUAAGGCAGCGCGCUGGGAACAGCCGCCUUGCAGGCCUGGCCGCCCCCGGGAGCCUCCCGGGACACCAUCGAAGCAGCACGGGGAACACAAGGGUCAGGAAAAGGGAACCACCUGUGGUCCAUUUCAUCAGCCCUGGAAGGACCUGGAACCCCGCUCCUCAGUGCCCAGCCUCACUGAACGCCUCCCUACUUCCUUUAAUAAGAACAUAAGCUUUAGGAAGAGUCAAGUCCCCAGGACGACGCACUCGAAAUUUCUUGCAAAGUUGUGCGUGACAGGUAUUAGGAGGAGGACGAGAAGAAGGCACGCUCUGCGCUUUCUAUAGGCUUGUCUGGGAAUGUUCACAUCACCCUGCAGGGCGUGUGCCGUGAGGGCUCCAUUUCGCAGCUGCGGCUCAGCAGGUGUAACCGAGUUAUAAUCAUGACUCCUAAAAGCACAGGCCACUCCUUGGGGCAAACACAGACUCAUCAGAGGGAAAGCUUGUUUGGGCUAAGGCAGUUGCACUAUAGAACAUCGGUGCAGUGGUAGAUGCCUUAGAAAGAAAGAAAAAAAUGUGAUCCAGUUUCCCAUUUCCAAGAUAUUGACACUGUGUCCCAGACAAGAUGUGCCCUGCAAGUGCUCUGAGAACGAGGUGCCUGCAGUAGGCCCCUUCAGGAUGUUGCCCAAACUCUCUCCCAAGUGGGUGUAGCCAUGCCCAGCUGCUGGGAAUGCUGGUUGCUAACAGCUCCCAGCUGCAACCUGCUCAGAACGGCCCUCGAAUGAUGGGAGCCCAUGACAACCGUGGGCUGAGAGGGUAUGCCCACGCUGUGGCCCCCACAGUGGCAGCACAGGGCCAAUGAAUGAGAGUCAUUGGGCCCCAAAGCUCAGACCCCUUACUUCAUGAUGGGACAACUUUCCAGAGCGCCCCGGAGAUCCAGCUAAAACAAGUCUCCACUGGGGAAAACGCACUCCUUAGCUCAUUUUCUUUGCCCUGUCCUACUUCCCUUCAACCUUCUUUUCUAAGAAACACUCCUUCAGUAAGUAAGUGACUUGCACAAGAUUCACCCCUGUCAGAGGCUCCAUCACUCCUAGGGAACCUCUCCUAACACACUGUCUAAGGGAGGAGGGAGGAUGUCACAUGGGCGAAGGCCAUUGAGCGUGGACACUGAAAUCUCUGCCUUGCAACUCUUCUGCGGAGACUGUGUCACAGGUCCUCAAGAUAAGACCUGAGUGCUGCUGAAACUCAAUGGGGCUUUAAAGACAUCUGGUCAACCCCUUCAUUCUAGCAGUGGGGUGGCCCACACCCAGGGAGGGGAAGCAACUGACCCAGACCACACAGGAUUGGAACCAGAUCUCUUCCCCACAAAUGAUAGGUGAGAGUACAGCCAGACCAAAGACAUAUAUAUCCCCACUCCUACAACGGCAUGUGUAUCCCCAGCUCCAGUCCACAUGGCAGGACUCUCUGCAGUGGAGGGAGGCGGGGUUGGUACUCAGAGGUUUGGCAGGUCCUGAUGUGGCUACUCCCCUACUUAUAAACCACCGCUCCCAGAACGGGAGCCACACUCUUUGCCCUUAGGUACUUUCACAUGGCAAUGCCCUCGAGCCUUUGUGCUUGACCUCCCAUGCCCCCCAAGGCAGCCUGAGUCCCGUACCCCUCACUUACAAGCAUGCUCUACUCUUCCUGGUCCACACUAGGGUAUAUGUAGAAUCACCAGAGGAAAUACAAAUGCCCAGUUAAAUACACAUUUCACAUAAACAAUAAAUUCAUGUUGGCAAUAAGUAGGUCCCAAAUAUUGCAUAUCCCUCUGUUGUUCUCUAAUAUGGCAUAUUCUUUACUUCCUCUGCCUGAAACUCCCUCCCCUGCAAUCUUGAAGAACUCUGCAUCCCCCAAACCAACUCAAAUGGACCCUCUUCUAGAUGGCUCUCACUCACUCUGAAGGAGUCAUGCUCCCUUAGGGGCCGAGUGCCCUGCCCUGCUCAGCUAGAGGGCACUGUGACAGGAUCAUCACGUGUUACCAGGAUUGGCCUCAGUGCCGGGUCCCUAGGUACCACAGGGAGGGGAGGGACUGUGCUUCCACUCACACAUUUACUCAUGCUCACAGGCAUGGGUUCAUUCGUUCGUUCAUUCAUAAAUUCAUUCAAUAGAUAUGUACUUGGCACCUCGGGGUCCAGCACAUACAUGUGGUAUAGGAGUCACAUAUCAAUAAAGUCGACAUCUGCCAGCCAUAAUAUGAGGAAGGUGUUGGGCAAGUAAAUAAUUGAUUUUAAAUGCUUAUCAGUCCUACAGAAGGAGCGGGCUAGGUGCUCUGACAAAGAGGUGAAUGGUAGCUAGAGAGUGGUCAUGGAGGCCUUUUAGGGAGAUACCAUUGUUGACCUAAGGCAGUGCACCAAUUGUAGGAAGAGCAGAGGAAAGGGUUUCAGUAGGAAAGCACAGCCUGUGAGGAGGGCCAGAUGCCAGAAAAAACUUGUCAUGUUUGAAGUCAUUAGAGGAACUGAGUGGACAAGACAGACAAGAAGCCUAAGUAUGGAGCCAUACGUCGUGGCCAGGUCACACAGGACCUUACCAGCUGUGUUAAGGAGGUU